AAUUGGGACCAUGCACUGACUUGGAAAAUCACCUGGUCAGAACUUUGGAGGUCAGAGCCAGCAAGACUCAAGUUCCUGAUCCAGUCAGUGUAUGAUGUCCUCCUGAGUCCAUCUAACCUGCACUGCUGGGGUCUGGCAGAAACACCAUCAUGUCCACUCUGCCCCGCAAGAGGAACACUGGAGCACAUCCUGAGCUGCUGCCCAAAAGCACUGGGAGAGGGCAGGUACAGGUGGCGCCAUGACCAGGUGCUGAAGGCAGUAGCUGACACCAUCUGUGCUGGGAUCCAGCAAAGCAAGCACCAGCCUCCAGCAAGGCAUAACAUCACAUUCGUUAGGGCUGGGGAGAAACCACAGUCACAGCCAAAGGUCCCAGGUGGUCUUUUAUCCUCAGCGGGAGACUGGCAGUUGAAGGUGGACCUGGGGAGGCAAUUGAAGUUUCCGGAGCACAUCACCAGCACAACACUCAGGCCGGACAUGGUCUUAACAUCAGAGAGUUCGAAGCAGGUAGUGUUACUGGAACUGACAAGUUCAUGGGUUCAUCACUGAAGAUGUGUCCAAGCUGCACCACUAAGGUGUUUGUUAAAACUAAACUAGUAUUCAGUGAGAGGAUUGGUUAAGGAUUCGGACUGUUAAGUAGGAAUCGGUAAGAAUUCAGAACUGUUAAAAUCCAGACAAAUCCCAACCCUAGUCUUAAUCCAUCCGGCUAUCUGCAUGCUAAUUCUGAUAAUUAAAAUUACUUUUUGGUAUGCUAUGAUUUAAAUAGUAGUAGUAAGAUUUAUAUACCUGGCUUGUACUGCUUAUCUUUCUAAAAGAAACUCUGUAAGCGCAUACUCUUAAAAAGGUAUAUGCAAGCAUUCACUGAUAAAGUAUACUUAAACCCAAGGCACAAAUACAUACUAAAGUAGAUCUUAAUUAAAAGUUUAUGUAUAAGUAUAGGUUAAAUAUAUUUACACUUAAAGUAUAUAUAUUAAGUAUUCUUGGCUUGUACUCAGAAUUAUACUCAAAGUAUAUCUCUUAAAGUGCAUAAAAAGUAAACUGAAAGCAUACUUUGUUUGAAAACAGUACAGUUUAAGUAAACUCAAACACACUUCUUUUUUUGGUGAGGGUAUACAAAAAAAAGUUAUUGACUGAAGGAAGAAAAAUCAGCUAUAAAAAAACAAGCAGUUUACACAGUAAACAAUAAGGAAUUUGACACAUUAUUGCAUACUAUUUGAGUUAUUAUAUCUGAGAAAGAUGUACACUACAGGCCAAAAGUUUGGAAGCAAGAUCAGAUUUGUACAAAAAAAGUUCAUAGUUUCAUUAAUAUACUUUGCAACACUAUAAACAUGACUAUUGUGUAAAGAGUAACUUAUCAGAAUACAUUUUGACUAUAAUUAUUAGGUAUUUUAGCUUUUCUUGCUUUGACUUUGCUUUCUUUAAAGUAACCUCCUCUGGCUUUAACAACAGCUCAGCAUAUACCAGGCAUUCGUUCCACAAGUUUUUUAAGGUAUGUUCCAGGGAUUGCAUUCCAAGCUUUCUUAAGUUCAUUAAAAAGAUAGUGCUGAUUCGUGGGAUGCAUUUUUCUGACCGAUCAAUCCAAUUCAUCCCGCACAAGCUCUAUUGAAGAAAGGUCUGGAGACUGAGGGGGCCAAACCAUCUUUUGAAGAAUACCUUCCUCUUCUUUUUUGUCUAGGUAACCCUGACAGAGCUUGGCAGAGUGCUUAAGGUCAUUGUCUUGCUGCAAAACAAACUUAUGAGCCACAAGUCCGAGUCCAGAUGGAACAGCAUGGUGCUGGAGGAUGGAGUGGUACUGUUCCUUUUUCAUGAUACCCUUUACUUCAAACAAAUCUCCUACUCCAUCACCUGCAAAACAUCCCCAUACCAUGGAACUACCACCUCCAUGCUGAAUUGUGGGUGUAACAAUUCAAUUGUAACAAUUGUGGGUGGGUGGUGCUUUCAGACAUUCACCAGUUUGUCUGCGGACUCUGCGUUUUGAACCAAACAGUGCAAACUUGUUUCUAGUCAUCAUAAGUCCAAUUUUUGUGAGCUUUUGCCUACUCAUAUCUCUUUUUCUUGUUCUGUGGACGAAGUAGUGUUUUUUUGCAAAUACACAACCCUUCAGACCAGCCUUUCUCAAACGUCAUUUCACAGUUGUCAGAGAUAUGGGUUUCGACCUUGUCAUGUUGAUUUCCUCCCUUAUUUUUGGUGCUGUCUUUUGCCGAUCUUUCUUACUGGUGACAAUGCUAUGUUUAUCCUCUGCUCUGCCUUUAAUGGCCUUACUUCCAAACUUUUGGCCUGUAGUGUGUGUUUUUAAAGUAAAAAAAAAAAAGGUGCAAGAGUUCAUCUGACUCAAGCAAUGGACACACAGACAGAAAUACCCUCCACGCCUUCGUCACAGGCAGAUAGUAGGCCUGUAUCUAGUCCAACCAAUUGGGAAUUAUGCUGUUUGUGCCAACAAAACAUCAGUGAAAGGCUAACUAAUGCCACAGGCAGUGGUUAUCUGACUUUGGCUAACAAUAUUCCCGAAUUUCACAAAAUGAACUUCAUGCCAGUUCUUUUUGACCCAAAGCGACUUGAUGAUGGUGAUGGAAUUUAAAAGCCCAAAAAAACAAACAAACAUAAACAAACACAAACAAAAAAACUACCCACCUAGGGCCCAGUCAGUACCCACAUGGACAGCCGAAGUGGGAACCAAGUGUAUCCCACGAAAUUCCCAAAUAGCAAGCCCACCUUGAAACAUAUGUGGGUCCUACCUGGGCGUGCUGGUCUGGGUAAUGGUACCUAUGUCACUAAAAUGCAAAUCACUUUAAAUGUGUCAUCAUAAAUUGAUUCUAUCUAUGGAAAUAAAUACAACUAUUGCUGCAUGCUCUUAUGGCUUAACCGUGAACUGCAGUAUAUUUCUGCUAUUUAUUGGCAGCCAUAUUGGAAAUUUGCCACCAUAUUGGAACCUAAUAUCUUAUGUUUAAUUGGAAUAAAUACCUAAAACAUUAUCAUAAAUUAAAAUGAGGGUAUGUGUAAGUUUUAUAGCUGCAGCAAAGUGAUACAGUCCAAAACGUUGACCUGGUGAAAGCCAUUUCUAAAAGCUCGCGGGCAUCAUGAAAAAUGGCGCCGCCCAGGUGGCCAGAGGUUAUAUUAUGAUUAGUAGUGGUAUCAAGGAUAUCUGUACCAAAUUUCAUGCUUGUAUCACCAUUUGCACUAUCGCCUCAAAAAUCAGCAUAUUCCCGCUAGACUAUCUUAUCCAAGUAGCUUCUUCAGUUCUAAAUUCAGCUCCUCACACUAGCAAUAUUUAGAACUGAAGAAGCUUCUUGGAUAAGAGGCGAAACAUCUUCUCAACUCUACACAGUCCAGUUGCCUGUUUUUGGAGUCUUUAGAAAACCAUGACCUGGAUUAAUGAGAAUCUACAUGGACACAUUUUAAUGAACGUAUUCUAAAGAUUCAGUUCAGUCAAAAGAACUGGUCUUCCCAUCACUAGUGGUGAGGAAUAAACAUGGAUCCUGAUCCUAAUAACUCAGUCUUGAAAACCUUACAAAAAACUCAAUCAUUGAUGUAUUUCAGUUGUCCUGCUUUGGCUUCAAAUUGGACAUUCGUGUUUGUUAUGGGGUGUUUGUACUGUCAAAGGUUAAAGGUAUGAAAUAUGUGUAAAUUCAAGAAAAACUAGCACCCUGUUGGGCAAUAACAGGCCCAAGCGGUGUCGCCCUGCCACCUCUUCAGCGCACCGCCACCUCGUCGCACCACCCACCAUCCCCGGUGCGGUGCUCUCCACAACAGCCCAACCUUUGUGUUGGUUGGCACUUGUGACUGCCUUUGAGUAGAGUGGCUCAUUUAGUGUGAAAAGAUGUCAGAGAUUGAAAGGACGCCAUAGUAACGGCCUUAGACAUAAACACGUGAUUUUUUUGAUUUGGUCUCAAGGUCUGACAGACUGGAAGAGAAAUAACAUCAUUCCAGAAAAAUUAAGCAUGCCUUAACUAAAGAAAAAAAAUGUUUUAUUUGUUAAAAGUAUUAUGACAACUGCACUUUUUCAUACAUUUAGAGAGUGACUGUUAGUCCAGCUACAUAAGCAAAGUUGGUCUAAUCUGUUUAUAUGUUUGAGAGUUGACUUAUAAUCACCAACUAAUUUGAGAUACAUGCAACAGAUUCCUACAUCUUACCAACAAAUUUUGUAGAUGUAAUUGUUUGGCUGCAAUUCACAUAAAGUAACAUGACGAGAGGCACAGAAAACAGGAAGUAUAUUUCCUAAAUGCUAAAAUAGACAAAAACUAAAACCAAAAGAGAAAAAGUCACUGUUUUUUUAUAAACAGGUAUUCUAUUCAUAAGAGGUAUAUUUGAUAGUCUUAGCACACACACCAUUGAGGAAGAGGUGUUACAAUCUGUUUGACUUAUAUUUGACAAUAGCUGCCCUUUUUGGAGGCUGUCCUUUUGACAAUACAAUGAAAUAAAAAUUCUUCACAACUCACAUGAUGCAAUAUUUCAAACAGUUGAACAGAUUCUUUGUCAUUGUUGUGCAACAUAAAAAAGUAAGGUUGUAAGUUAAUAGGAUAUUAGAACAUGUGAAUUUAUAAUAAUACCUACAUUGUUGUCCAUGUUCUCUGGCAUUGUAGCAGUGUUUGUCACCCUUUAGUCACCAAUCUGUUCAUUUGUUGUAGUUUCCGGCCUGGAUGAAUUACAAGCCAUUUCAGUUUUACACUUUGAGACCUGCCUUUGCUUUUAUUUCCAAAAAGGAUGAACUAUAAUAAUAAUUCUAUUUGAUCUGUAAGAAGUGCUAAGGUGGCUUAGGAGUGUUCUUGGCUGCCCAGAUAAUUCAACUUGAAUUAGUCCAAACACAAUUAAAAAGCCUUAAAAAUGAGCCCCCUGAAUUCAGACUCAAGCUAUCUGCGUGCAGUGUAUCUUGGCACAUGUAGGCAGUUUGAUAUUUCAUAUUCAGCUAUAUGUGUGUCCUCUCCCUGAAUGUUAGGGGGCCUCGAAAUAAUGAUAAAAGAGCCCAAGUUCUUUCUUGGAUCAGAAAACAACAUGCAAGUAUUAUAAUGCUACAAGAAACAUAUUUUACUAAUGAUCUAAUCGAAAAAGUGAAUAAGGAAUGGAAAGGAAAAGCUGUGCAUAAUAUUGGAACAAACCACAGUAGGGGUGUAAGUAUUCUAUUUGACCCUAAACUGAACAAUACGGAAUUGAAAGAGUUUAAGGAUGAUCUUGGGAGAGAAAUAUGUGUCAAUUGUAAGAUUGCCGACAAAGCAUAUUCAUUUCUUAACAUUUAUGCCCCUAAUGUGUGUGGCGAUAGGAUCAUCUUUUUAAAUGAACCGUCCAGGUGGCUUACUGGUAUUGACAUAUGUAGCGUUCGUACUUGCGUUGUGUGAUUAAUUCUGUAGAGAAACCAGACUUCUGUGUUAGAAUCGAUGUUUAUUCAGUACCUGGUAGAAAAUUAUCAUGGUCAGGUCUCGCAUCAGACAUGCGGUCUCUCUCUAACCAGCGAGCAGCUCAGCACAACUGUGCUAACAAUAUAAAUUCAAACUCUAUACCUGGUAGAAAAUUAUCAUGGUCAGGUCUCACAUCAGACAUGCGGUCUCUCUCUCACUGCAAGUAUAAAAUAACAACAUAAGUACCCUCUUAAAUAAGGAAAUUAAAAGAUAAUUAAAACAAAUAAUCCCGGAGAUCGGACAUGUGGACUUCCCCAGCGAGCAGCUCAGCACAACUGUGCUGCUAGACUGGGGUUCACUCCCCAAAAUCCCCAGGGGUUGAUGCAUUCGAGGGCUGCAGGGAAUCUAAACAUCCUUAAAAGAACCUAACGUAAGGCAUGGCAAGUGAAAUCAUUAAAUAUUAAUUAUAACUACGUUACACUCCCCCCUACUGAUUUCCACUUGCCCAUACAAAAAAACGAAUACUAAGACGCAGAGUGAGACCAGGCCAUAAAAACAUCCAAACAACAAAUAUACAAACAUACCAGGUAGCAAUCACAGUAUAACAAGAGGAGGACCCGAGAAAAGGAAAAAAAAUGUGUACAGUGCCGUCAAAACCACAGAUACCAAGUAUACCAGUCACAAGACCAUUCCUGAAGAAUUAGAAUGGGGAGGGGUUGCAAAGCCUUCCACCACCCAUAGGUAAACACAUGCCCAUAUACAUUUUAAAUCACCCAGAAAUCAUGUCAUAAAAAAAACAGCACAAUUUGUAACCCCCAGGACAUAUUCACGCUAGCAGUCCAACACAGGUAUCAACCAUCAUAGAAAAAAAAGACAUAAAUGACUCAAAUCCUCCCCAAAGUGACAUAAAGAUACCAACCAUACAUAAACAUUUUAAAGAGCAGUACACAAAAAAAAAAAAAAAAAAACUAGCGACCAGCAAGAACCCUCUGGUGCAUAUUCUGAAUAAGUCUGACUACUGGCCUCACUACCCUCCCAUACCUUGUCCGCCUUCUCUGCAAACCGUCAGGGGAAGGGUUUGGUCCUGCCUCCGAUGCAACAACUGAACCAGCAUCAGAAGGCAGCAAGUCAACAGGAAGAGUAGGGACAGCAGGUCGAGAGUCGGGCAAGUCAACAGGACAGUCAGUAUCAACAACAGGGUCCGAAGGGUCAGACUGGUUCAGUUCUACAGAACCAUUCUCGUUUUGCCUGUCAGGUCCACUCUCCAUAUGACUGGCAGGGAUAAUCUCAUCAGGUGCGUCAGAUCCGGCACAGUCAUUCAUAUCCACAUCAGCCAUAGUUGUCGACUCUGAGAUGGGAGCUGGUUCAACCGCACUCAACAGUCAGAGUGCGGUUGAACCUUUCGACUGCUCCAUUGCCCAUGGGGUUGUAAGGUGUCGUGUGAGAUUUUUCAACACCGGCAACUUGGAGCAUCUCUGCAAUCAGACUGCUUUCGAAAUUUGCACCCUGAUCGGAAUGCACUCGCUCUGGGAAGCCAUAGAUACAGAAAAAGUUGUUCCAGAGUUGAUGAGCGACAGCUUUGGCUGACUGAUUGGGACAAAGGUAGGCUUGAGACAGUUUAGUGAAAUGGUCUGUCACGACCAGCACAUCCAAAGACUUGUUGGAGGAAUCUUCAGCCGACCAAAAAUCAAUGCAUACCAACUCAAGAGGUCUAGAGGUCUUAACACUCUCGAGUGGUGCUCUGGCCUAGGGUUCAGGAGUCUUACUGACCAGACAGCGCCGACAACACUGCACAUAAUCUUUCACAUCUUUCUCCAUCCCAACCCUUGUCUAGCCAAGUAAAGUGUCCGUCUCUGACCUUGGUGACCCGCCUCAUCAUGAAUACCCUUCAGGACUAACCCUAACCCAAGCAUGGAUCAGUACGCUGCUGUGACAUGAGCUUGGCCUUGGGCAGGGGCCGAUAAUCAGACAGCUCGGAUGGCAGGAGGGACUGAGUGAGCUGAGGCAAGCAAAGUGCAUGAGAGGGAAACUGGUCUUCAACCAGUGAAUGUUCCAAGACAGCCGACACUAUUUCUGAGGAGAUAGGUGGAUGCUGGGGCACAGCUGUUGCACUGUUGAAGGCCACAGGCAGAGGGUGAUGCAGCAGGCGGCUGAGAGGAUCACAGGACAGCCUAAAAGCAUCCUGCACACAGUCAGGAUCAAGGGCAUUCGCUUCCUCCAGGAGUGCACCGUAGGGGACUGUCGUGAGCCGGUGGAGAACACUGGGGUGCACAAAGGGCUCAUGGCUGAGGGCGUCUGCCACCACAUUUCUCGGACCAGGGAUGUAUCUGAUGUCAAAGUCGUAGGGGGCCAGUUUCGACACCCAUCUCUGCUCACAGGCAUCUAGUUUGGGCUUACUGAGAAUGUAAGUGAGCGGGUUAUUGUCGGUCCAGACAGUAAACCGAUUACCUCUCAACCAGUGGCUGAAUUUGUCGCACACAGUCCACUUGAGUGCGAGAAAUUCGAGUCUGUGUGCCGGGUAGCGAGACUGGGCAUAAUUGGGGCUCGAUGGUUACUGCACGUUUGAGCUUAACAGUACCCACCUUGUCAGGACACUUACCUCCCUUCCAUGUCUCAACAGCAGCCAAGAACUGCAGCAGACUUCUCCCCUCCUCAGGAAGCUGAUCUGAGAGAGACACCUUCUCCUCACCAGAGUGCUUCAGCACCCGAAUGAGGUGUUUUAUGACAUUGCUGCCAAGAAUGAGAUCAUCACUUUUACCCUCCACUAUGAGUGUCGGAACUGAAAAGCAACAGUCAAACACUUUCAUCUUCAGCUCACACGCACCAGCAGGUCUGGUUGUUAAACCACCGCAUCCAAUGAGCACAACCGAUGUGGGAGAAAUGGAGUCAGGGGAAAUGACAUUGUUCUCUAUCAUGAGGUUGAGCACAUGAGAACUCAGGGAGCAGGCCAUUGAACCACUGUCAAGCAUGGCAUUGAGUGUCAUAGUAUCUUGAAUGAGCGCUUUCGUGCGGAAAAGGUUAUCAGUUGCAGACAGUCUUUGUGUAUUUUGAAUGACCACAGUGGAGCCUGCACUUGUCAAGGAGCAGAACUGAGAGUACACUGAUUCAAGGUCAACAUCAUCAGAUUCUUGUGGGGAAUUGCUCUCCGGCCCUACAUUACUCCCCUGCUCAUGCGGGCCAGCUAGUUUUUUCUGCUGGGUGGCACCAUCAGGUUUAGCAGCAGAUGAGUCAGGAGGAGGAGCGACAUGGCAGGAUACAGCUUGGUGGCCUGUGGAAAAACAGCGGAAACACAGACGCUCCCUCCUGCAGUGAGACACAGUGUCAUGAUUGUCAUUCCUACAUACAGCACAGGGGCCCGGAGACUUGUUGCGGCUACAAGUACCUGAUGACCUUGGAGGUCUGGAAUGUUGGAAAGUCUCUCGCUGCAGUAACCGCUCAAGGAGAGUGAUGACGUGUUCAAGUGACUGCCCUUCAGCAUGUGACACUCCACUGGUUGUAACUGGUUGAGGGGCAGGAGCGCUCCCAGCAGACUGAGCAUGGCACUGUACAACACUCACAGGUUGGUCGGGUUGCUGGUUCCUAGCCGGACAUGAAGACUGACGUUGCUGGAGGCGCCUUUUCCUGUGGUGUUCAUCCAACCGCACCUGGACAUCAGCGGCAGUCCACUCCUCUAGCGGUUUGCAGCUGAAGACUAGAGACAACUCAGUGUCAGGACAGUGAGUGAUAAACACAUACAUGACAUAAUUAAAGGUGGGGAUUGGAAUACUGUCUUGAAUUUGGAGAUGGAUAAAAGCCCCCCUAUAACCCACUCACCAGUGUAUUAUCGUAAAGCAGCUGAGGUAAUUGGUAAUUUGUGUAAAAACUUCCAACUAUAUGAUGUAUGGAGAGAGAAAUAUCCAGGGCUAAAGCAGUUUACAUGGAGAUGUAAGAAUCCAGAAACAGCUUGUAGAUUGGAUUUCUUUCUAAUUCAUCAAGACUUAGAACAGAAUGUGGUAAAUGCAGAAAUUAAAGCUGCUUUAAGAACAGAUCACCAGGCUAUUAUGUUGACAAUAACAUUGGACCACUCAAUUCGAGGCCCAGGUAUUUGGCACUUUAACAACAGCCUCUGUGAAGACAAAAUGUAUAGUAACACUCUGAUCACAAUUAUUGAAGAAUGCCAAAAUUAUUUCAGUGAUCAAGAUCAUAGAACAUUUUGGGAUCUGUGUAAAUUCAGGAUCAAGGAAAAAAACUACAAAAUAUUGUCAGAAUAAAGCUAGAAUUAGAGCUGAACGCUUGACUACCUUAGAAAAUAGUCUCCGUGACUUAGAAAGAAAAGUAGAUCAUGAACCAAAUAGGGAAAACAUGGAAAAAUACGAUGAAGAACAAAAACAGCUAGACCAAUUAUAUGCAUAUUACACUGAAGGGGCAAAGAUUCGUUCAAAAGUGAAACACUAUGUUUACGGAGAAAAAUCCACUAAGUACUCCCUCAAUUUGGAGAAAUCAAACAACAAAAAACAUACUAUAAGUAGCCUGAGAGUUGGUGGUGAAGUAUUCUGCCACACUGCUGACAUCCUCUGUGAAGCUAGGAAGUUCUAUCAGCAGCUCUAUAAAACACGUGAGGUAAAUCCCGAAAAGGUAGACUGUUUUUUGAGAAAUAUAAACAUAGACCAUACUGUAUCUGAGGAAGCAAAACAGCUACUAGAUGAACGACUGGUGGAUAAAGAGUUUUCGGAUGCUGUAAAGAAUCUGAAGACUGGCAAAACACCAGGUACUGAUGGAACUGCAUCAGAAUUCUAUCAGUGCUAUUGGGAUAUUGUAGGAGUGUUUGUUAUUAAUUCAAUCAGGGAAGGUCUUGCACAUGAACAGAUGGCAGACUCCCAUAAAAGAGCCAUUUUAAAAUUACUUUAUAAAAAAGGAGACAACCAACUAUUAGAUAACUGGAGACCUACAAGUCUUUUAAACACAGAUUAUAAAAUACUUGCCCAUGUGCUAGCCAAUAGGUUAAAACCACUGUUACUAUACCUAAUCAAUGAGAAUCAAACUGCCUAUGUAAAAGGCAGAUUCAUUGGACAAAACGUACGCCUUAUUACAGAUGCUAUUGACUAUAUAGAUGAAAUGCAAAUUCUGUCAUGAUCUGUGCUGUGAAAUCACUUCCUGUUUUAUUUUGAAGAUCCUGUUUUUCCUGUGUUGCUGUUACCUUUACUUCUGGUCUUUGUUCCUUUUCCCGCCUUAGUUAAUUACCCCAUUGGCUUCACCUGUGUUUUGUCCCCUUCUCUAUUUAACCCCUCCUCACUAGCUCUUCCCUGCCAGAUUGUCUUUGUCACUUUAGUACAGGCUCUCUCGCGUUUUGAUAUAUCUCUGCUUCCCGUGUAUGACCUGUUUUGAUCGUCCUGGAUUUUUGAUUCUUGCCUGUCCCACUGGUUUUUGUCGCCUGAUUAUUUGCUGCUCUGAUUUUGACCCUGCCGGGUUUUCUUUUGGUUGGAAUAAAAGAGUUUGCCCUUUGGAAACUGAACAAUUGCCUCACGUCCACUGCUUUUGGGUCCACACACUCUCGGCGCUUUACAGUACAAUCUGGCCAUGAUGGACCCAGCAGGUGAGGACUUUUGCCAUGCUCUGGGGGCACAGGGAAGACGUCUAACCGAGUUGGAGAGGGCCAUCUCCAGCCUGGGCCCUGGAGUUCAGUCGUUGUCUGCCCAGCUGCAAGCCUUGGCUACUCAGACUAACCAGCUGAUGGUUCGCCUGGAUACACUGCAAACUGUCGCUUCGAGCCCCGACAUCUCCUCUUCACCUUCAGUUCCCUCUGCUUCCCUGGGUCACCAUUCUGAGCCGAGUGCUCCGCCUAUUGAGAGGUAUGACGGAACUCCUGAGACUUGUCGCUCAUUUUUGACUCUCUGCUCGCUAACCUUCGAGCUUCAGCCCAUCACCUUCUGCACUGAACGCUCUAAAGUGGCUUUCAUGAUCACAAAUCUCACCGGGCGGGCGAGAGAGUGGGCCACUGCUGAGUGGCAGAGGGGUUCAUCCGUUUGUGCCUCUGUGGAUGCCUUUUCUGCUGCUUUGGCCCGUGUGUUUGGUCAACCUGUUUCGGGCCGGGAGGCAGCCUGUGCACUGGGUCGGCUCAGGCAAGGCAGUAGCUGUGUUUUUGAUCAUGCCAUCCGGUUCCGCACUCUGGCGGCUGAGAGUCGCUGGAACGAUGAGGCCCUUGCUGACACUUUCUUUUGAGUCUUUCUGAGGAUUUAAAAGAUAGACUGACCAUGGUUGAUCUCCCUACCAGUUUCGAAGCUCUCGUGGAACUAGCUAUCAAGGUUGACAACCGGCGACAUGAACGGGAGCAGCUCCGGCCAACGGGCCAUGUGGAUCGGCUGAAUCGGGGAGAGCAUGGCUCUGCAACGGCCUUGGGAAUUACACCGUCUAGCCCCCCAAUGGAACCCAUACAGCUUGGUCGGACUCGCCUAAGUCUAGAGGAGCGACGUCGCCGCCAGCGUGAGGGACUCUGUCUCUACUGUGGGGGAACCAGAGGCCUACUGGUGAGUCACUCCGCAAGCGCCUCUGCACCUAAACGCGCCUUGACCCCAGUUCAGCUCAUCACUUCUUCCACGAAUGUCCUGGAUCUAUCAGCUCUCAUCGAUUCCGGCGCUGAUGAAAGUUUUAUGGACCGGGACCUGGCCUGACAGCUGGACCUGCAGCUCAAGCCUCUCCCUGAAGCGCACCAUGCCCGCGCCCUCGAUGGCCACCUGCUUGGACAGGUUACUGAACAGACUCCUCUCCUGUCUCUGCAGAUGUCAGGUAACCACAAAGAGACUAUUUCUUUCCUGAUUAUUGAUUCCCCCCACUACCCUCUUAUCCUGGGUUACUCCUGGUUGUGUAGACAUAACCCCCUGAUGGACUGGGCUACAGGCAGGGUGUUAGGAUGGAGCCUAGCCUGCCAGUCAGCCUGCCUGCUCUCUCUGCCUGUUCCCCAUAGGUCUGCUGAUUCUUCUUUUGAGUUCCCAGAUUUGUCCAUGGUGCCAAGGGUCUACCUGGACAUAAAGGAGGUUUUCUCCAAAGGCCGGGCCGCAUCCUUACCUCCACACCGCCCGUAUGAUCGUGCUAUUGAGUUGCUUCCUGGAACAAUGCCACCCAAGGGCCGUCUGUACUCUAUAUCCGCGCCUGAGCGGAAGGCCAUGGAUAAAUACAUCCAGGAGGGGCUAGCGGCAGGGAUCAUCCGUCCUUCUUCCUCCCCUGCUGGAGCUGGGUUCUUCUUCGUGGACAAGAAAGAUAAGACCCUUCGUCCAUGUAUUGAUUACCAGGGACUGAAUGAUAUCACGGUGAAGAACCGCUACCCAUUGCCACUCCUCUCAUCGGCGUUUGAACUGCUUUAAGGGGCUCGUGUCUUCACCAAACUCGACCUGUGCAACGCCUACCAUCUAGUUCGGAUUCGUGAAGGAGACGAGUGGAAGACGGCUUUCAACACCCCCAGUGGCCACUAUGAGUACCUGGUAAUGCCUUUUGGACUUACUAGUGCUCCUGCUGUAUUUCAGUCGCUGAUUAACAACGUUCUCAGAGAGAUGCUGAAUGUUUACGUUUUUGUCUAUCUCGACGACAUCCUGGUCUUUUCCCAGACUGAAGAGGAGCAUGUGGGUCACGUCCGUCAGGUGCUGCAGCGGCUUUAUCAUCAUCAGUUAUUUGUAAAAGCUGAGAAAUGUGAGUUUCACCGGACAACGGUGUCUUUUCUGGGACUUGUGAUUUCACCAGGUCAGAUCAAGAUGGACCCUGAAAAGGUCAAGGCCGUUAUGGAUUGGCCUGUUCCCACCGAUCGGAAACAGCUCCAACGUUUUCUGGGUUUCGCCAAUUUCUACCGCAGGUUCAUCCGUAACUACAGCCACAUAGCAGCCCCUCUGCAUGCUCUCACCUCCUCAAACUCGAGAUUUGCCUGGUCCUCUGAGGCAGAGUCAGCCUUCCGAACCCUCCUGUCCAGGUUCUCCUUGUCCCCCAUCCUGCAGAUGCCCGACCCCAAGCUCCAGUUCAUUGUCGAGGUGGAUGCGUCCGACGUUGGGGUAGGAGCGGUUCUCUCCCAACGUUCUGCGGGUGACGGAAAGGUUCAUCCGUGCGCCUUCUUCUCCCGGAAGCUGUCUCAAGCCGAGCGCAACUACGAUGUGGGGAACCGGGAGCUGCUGGCCGUGAAGCUGGCACUGGAGGAGUGGAGGCACUGGUUGGAGGGGGCAGAGCAACCCUUCCUAGUCUGGACGGACCACAAAAACCUGGAGUACAUCCGUGGAGCCAAAAGACUAAACUCCAGACAGGCUAGGUGGGCCCUGUUCUUCACCAGGUUUGAUUUCACCCUGUCUUAUCGCCCUGGGUCCCGAAACGUCAAGCCGGAUGCCCUGUCCAGGCAGUUUGAGGCAGGAAACCGCCCCCAGGAUGCAGCUCCUAUCCUGCCCUCCGACUGUGUGAUCGGGGCGGUGACCUGGGACAUCGAGAGGGAGGUCCAGCAAGCACUUUUGACGGCCAGGAUUCCUGUGGGAUGCCCUCCUGGCCGGCUUUUUGUCCCAGGCCCGCUCCGCUACCGAGUCCUGCAGUGGGGGCACUCCUCUCUAUUAAGCUGUCAUCCUUCUCCAAGAUGGCCCAUUUUGUCGCCCUGCCUAAGUUGCCUUCCGCCAAGGAGACAGCGAAGGCAGUUUUAUUUAAUGUGUUUCGUCUCCAUGGUCUUCCUCAGGACAUUGUGUCUGAUCGGGGUCCCCAGUUCGCCUCACGCUCCUGGAAGGAGUUCUGCCGGCUGCUCGGAGCGUCGGUCAGCCUCUCCUCCGGUUUCCACCCCCAAACGAAUGGCCAGACGGAGAGGUACAAUCAAGAGAUGGAGACAGCUCUCCGCUGCAUCACCUCCCGGAGUCCAACCAACUGGCCGCAGCAGCUCCUCUAGGUGGAGUAUGCCCACAACUCCCUCCCUGUGGCUUCUACUGGCCUGUCCCCGUUCCAGUGUGUCUACGGGUACCAGCCCCCUCUUUUCCAGGACCUCGAGGGGGAGGUCACAGUUCCAUCAGCCCACGCCUUGGUCCGCCGAUGUCACCUCACCUGGAGGAGAGCCCGUGCAGCCCUUCUCCGCACCAACAUUGGGUACCAGAGGUCCGCCAACCGCCGUCGCUCCCAAGCCCCUCGCUACCACGUUGGUCAAGAGGUUUGGCUUUCCACCCGUGACCUGCCGGUUCGGGGGGAGUGUCGCAAGCUGGCUCCAAGGUUCGUGGGGCCCUUUCCCAUCUCAGAAGUCAUCAACCCUGCUGCCGUUCGCCUUCGCCUUCCUCGGACCAUGAGGGUCCACCCCACCUUCCAUGUGUCACGGAUCAAACCCGUCAGGACAAGUCGUCUGCUCCCACCCUCCGACCCGCCUCCACCACCCAGGGUAAUUGAUGGAGGCCCAGUUUACACGGUGAAUCGCCUGCUGGCUGUCCGUCGUAGGGGCAGGGGCCGCCAGUACCUCGUCGAUUGGGAGGGGUACGGGCCCGAGGAGAGGUCCUGGGUCCCUGCAAAGGACAUUCUGGACAAAACGUUAAUCAGAGACUUUCAGAGACUGAAUCCAGAUGUUCCGGGGUAGUCUAGAGACGCCCCUUGAGGGGGGAGGUACUGUCAUGAUCUGUGCUGUGAAAUCCACUUCCUGUUUUAUUUUGAAGAUCCUGUUUUUCCUGUGUUGCUGUUACCUUUACUUCCGGUCUUUGUUCCUUUUCCCGCCUUAGUUAAUUACCCCAUUGGCUUCACCUGUGUUUUGUCCCCUUCUCUAUUUAACCCCUCCUCACUAGCUCUUCCCUGCCAGAUUGUCUUUGUCACUUUAGUACAAGCUCUCUCGCGUUUUGAUAUAUCUCUGCUUCCCGUGUAUGACCUGUUUUGAUCGUCCUGGAUUUUUGAUUCUUGCCUGUCCCACUGGUUUUUGUCGCAUAUCUCUGCUUCCCGUGUAUGACCUGUUUUGAUCGUCCUGGAUUUUUGAUUCUUGCCUGUCCCACUGGUUUUUGUCGCCUGAUUAUUUGCUGCUCUGAUUUUGACCCUGCCGGGUUUUCUUUUGGUUGGAAUAAAAGAGUUUGCCCUUUGGAAACUGAACAAUUGCCUCACGUCCACUGCUUUUGGGUCCACACACUCUCGGCGCUUUACAAAUUCCUGGUAUAGUUCUCUUUCUAGACUUUAAAAAGGCAUUUGAUAGUGUAGAGUGGAUCUUUUUAUUUAAAGCACUAAAGAGAUUCAACUUUGGGAGUUUGUUUCUAAGAUGGAUUCAAACUAUUCAUACAAACUGUAGUGCAGUAGUCAACAAUGGAGAAUUCUUUGACCUUAGUCGGGGAAUUAGGCAAGGUUGCCCUUUGUCCGCAAUCUUGUUUCUUUUUGCCAUGGAAAUUCUAGCACUGUAUAUUAAUCAAAAUGCAAACAUCAAAGGUAUCAAUUUGUCAGAUGGAAGUGCUACCCAUGAGGUUAAAACUUCACAAGUAGCAGAUGAUACUACUCUACUGCUUGGUGGCGAAAGGUCACUAACUACAGCACUAGAAAUGAUAUCAUCUUUUGGCAAAGUUGCAGGCCCUGAAUUGAACUUACAGAAAACCGAAGCAAUUUGGGUUGGUUGCUGGAAAUUUAGGCGAAAAGAAAUCAGUGGAAUAAGGUGGCCAACUGGUCCUGUAAAAUCACUUGGUGUACAUUUUGGUUACAACUGUGGUGAGACGCCUCCUUCUCUUGUUUUAUUUUGGCUGGACUUCCUGUGUUUCCUUGUUUGCCUGGUCUGGCUUCACUCUCUUCCAGAGCUUCCGCCCCUCCCCCGGUCCCUGAGGCUGAGUGAGACUACACACCUGCUCCACAUCUCCAAUCAAAGCACUUUAAGAAGCCUGCAGCCCUCAGCCUCAGCGCCGAAUUGGAUGAUCUGUCCCCGGCUAAAGCUGUCCCCGAAAAUGUCCCCGAUUUAAGCGUUUGAUGAAUGAGAACAAAAAUUUUGCAUGUAUGCUAGAACAACAGUUGUUACAGUAGGUAGGAAGCACAAGUAAACAGUCAUGAACAACAGUAUUUACGGGGUUAUUAAAAGGGGCAUGCGCUGCUACUAAAUAGUACCGAGAUGUUGUCUGUGAUCACGCAGCCCAUGCCCAUUCAUUUCCAAGAUGAAUUCAUUCAUGUAUUCAUUCCUAUCGUGUUUACAUGUUUUGUGUGAUAUGUCGGCCAUAUGAGCCUUUCAUAAAGGUGGUCAUCCGGAGAAGUAAGUGGGUCCGUGCGGUCCCUGAAAACUCUCGCGCGCCGGAGUGCUCCUCGGACAAUGCGAGCACCGAGGUCUACAGGAUCCUCCAAGAACGGACAAGCCGUUUUUCGAGAGAGCUCAUUGGUCAGUGGGCAGGGUUUUUAUGCUCCGUGAGUUCAAUCUGGAACUUAGCCUGCCCCGGAGCAGGUAAGCCGUUCAGCGUAUGUUGCCAUGGAGACUCGCCUCGCUAAGAAGUGAACCCGCGUCGUAGAACAGGAAACCCCGAACUUAUCCUCGAAGUUACCUCGCUAAGCAGUAAUCCUGCUUCGUAGAACAGGCCCCUGGCCUUCCUCGUUGUAUGAGUAUCAAUAACUUUGCUCCUUGUGAUUCUUUGCAUGUUCACUUACUUCCUUCUCCUCUGGUUUUUCCUGCAGUGUCUCCAGCCUACACGACAGCCAGCCAACCAGCCCUCCGGACUUCCUCUGUUUGCAUUUCAAUCCUGAGUUUGGACAUUAAAAUUACACCUUUAGUUGAUCUCUGUCUCAGUGCCUGCUUCUGGGUCCUCGCAGCUCACCAGCCACACCACAACAACAAACUUUCAUGUGAGACGAACCUAUGGAAUGAGAAAAUCAAUAAUAUAGAACAUGUUUUAAAUCUAUGGAGACAAAGGAAUCUCACAUUAUAUGGCAAAGUAACUAUUCUGAAAUCAUUGAUUGCAGCUAAAAUUAUGUACUGGGCUACUGUGUGUGAUGUGCCAAAUAAUGUGACUGUCAGGCUGAAUACUUUGUUUUUUGACUUUCUUUGGUCUGGAAAGAGAGAUAAAAUCAAAAGAUCUGUUAUUUUAGGAGAUUAUAAUACAAGGGGUAUAAAAAUGUUAGAUAUUCAAUCUCAUAUAGAAGCACUUCAUGCUGGCUGGGUGAAGCGCAUCAUGGAUACAUCAUCAGGAGAUUGGAAACUGCUACCCAAAUUGUAUUUAAAUAGACUAGGUAAAGAUUUCCUUAUCUUAAGAAUGCACUUUAAAGAAAAAAAACACUGUCCAGAUCUGACAGGAAUUCCCACUUUUUUAUCAAGGCAUUAUUCAAAGCUGGCACAAAGCAGGAGGUGGUUUUGUGAAGGAACCAUGUACAGCAGAUGAAGUCGGAAACCAUAUCAUCUGGGGAUCUGCCUUUUAAACAGAUUCUAGAGGGAAGUCCCUUUUCUACAAACAUUGGAUUGACUCAGGCAUAAUUUAUCUUGAAAGAUCUAUCUGUAAAGGAAAAACCAAAGCUUCAAAACUGGAUAAGAGAAAUUAGCGAAUUAUUCAUCAUCAGAAAGGAAAUUCCCAAAAAUGGCUCCCAUUUCUGAGCAACAGUAUAACAUUAAGAGAUGACAACACUGAUGCACACAUUGCUCCGACAGGCUAUACUUGCGAGAUAAUCUAUAAGCUGUUGUUAAAAGAAAAAAUAAAGACAUCAUAUAUGCAGACAUAUUGGUAUGCUGCACUAGCCGACCAAACAAACAACAUCAUGUGGAGCAAUGUGUGACAGAGACAAACAAUAAAAUUAUCUCCAGAUAGGAAAUUGGCCGAAUACAAUUUCAAAAUAUUACAUGGAAUUCUUCCAAAUAUGUCAAACCUGUAUAAAUGGAAGCUGGUCCCCACUCCUCUAUGUGCUUUUUGUUUGGUAAAAGAAGAUACAGAACAUAUGUUUGUUUCAUGUCGUUGUCUGGGUGGCUUUUGGAACCAGGUUUCCGCACUUAUGUCUCAGUUUAAUAUCACCUUUAGAGUAGAACUGUGCACAUCAGCAAGUAACAGAUAUUUUACAAAUCUGACUCUAACAAUAGCAAAACCGUCCAUCUUUAAAAUCUGGAUGAGAUAUAAAGAUGAUCAACAAAGGUUUUCUACAGCAGACAGGGUAUCUGUCUUUCUUUCGGAGCUGAGGUCCUUGGACCUUUUGGUGGAUGAGUCUAGAGGUAACGAAGCCUGGGCAAACUUAUUGUGGUUGUUGGACAGAACAUAAAGAAAAGGCUACCCAUAUUCUCUUUUUUUCUCUCUUUCCUCUGUAUGUAUACACUCCAUCUAUUUGUAUAUACAUGAUGUGUGAGGGUUUUUUUUGCAUCCUUUUUAUACGCUGUUUUGUUAUGUGACUCUCCUAAAUAAAUUUUUUUUUU
rnacentral:lncRNA from 1 species